CUCAUAUAACCACUAUACCUGAUUAUUAUCUAUUGUCUGAAUCUACAUUAUGUCUAAUUACGAUAUUAUUACCCAAUUCAGAUGACAAUUCCUACAUUAAGGAUCAAGUUUGUCACAUAAACUCUUUGCAUGUUUUAUCUCUUCUCCAAAUGCUCAAUGCUGCCCAGGUCUAUUAAAUACAGUUAUUAGCUUUUGCACGAAUCUAUUUCCAUGCCGACUAAACAAAGCUGUGAUUUUUUCCCCCACGACGCUGCUGUAUUAGGGCAAUGUGACGUCAUGGACUGUAUGUGACUGUACGCAGCGCGUGCCGCGGAGCGCGUGCUCCGAGCACAUGGAAAAAGGCUCGAGACGAAGUACCCAAAGAAAAACUCCAUACUGAAAUGGAAUAUCAUUCACAAAAUAAUCAAAUCUGGAGCAAAAGGGACCUUCAGAACAGCUGCUAGUCAGCCUGUCGUUCUCUCAACGGAAGCCUGAAACCGGAGCCAUGAGUGAAUGCCAAACUUUUCAGGAAAAGACCUACAUGUUCUGCCCCCUGUGAGCUGACAACUCCUUGCCAUCAAAGUCAACGAUGCCGCUUUGCUGCGAAGAGAUGAAGAUCUGCUGUUGCCUGCGGACAGCUGGGUUUUACACAGUGGGUGCAAAGAUGUGAAAGAGGGCCUCACACUUUGACGAAUGGCUGUUAUUCCAGGAACGAGAGGGGCCGAAGCAACAGGACACUCUUAAAUCUGCAGUGGCGAGAGAGGCCCUGUUUCCUGACCCUUCUGAGAAUGGCUUUGAAAUGCACCUCAAACGCUUCAGCGCCAUCAGGGGAAACGGGGCUGCUGCCUGCUUUAAAAAGAGCUUUACAGGAUGUAUGGAAGAAAUCCUGAGGGAUAAUUGGUGUAGAUGUGCACUGUCACGCUGCCUUGGAAACCACUGACUCAGGUAAAGAAUCCAUCUUCAAAGGAAACAGCCCGGUGUUGUUUCUGACCGACCUGCCUGAAGAACGUUAAAAGCACGAGGAGAUCCUUCAUUGCCCGAUUUCAAAGAGACCGUGACAUACUUGAGUGCUCAGACUUUCUCAUGGGGAGUACUUGAGGUUCAGGUGCAAUGAGAGACAAUGAUGGAGGCCUCUUCAUACGCCACAAAGGCAGAAAGAAAAUUAUGGGUUUUUUACAAUGGCUGGACAAAGAUAAAUACUGUCUAUAAGUAUGGGAGGUAACGGUGCUAUCAUGUUCACAAACAGAAAGAAGAAUGCUUUGAUACGACACCACCAAUAUUUUCAACAAGAUCUCAUAAGCAUUUGCAAUCAUUUUUACAAAAAUAUGGUUUUACCACACAUAUUUUUACUUUCUAAAACACAAUCCUGAUGUAUUGACAGCAUCUAAAACGUAAAUAAUUUACAGACGCACAAAUGUUUAUAAAUCCUUAAUCACCUUGAUUAAACGGUUGAUUCUAUUGCAUUUAUGAUCAUUGAGAUUAUGAUUUCAAUAACAUUUAUUUAGUGCUGUUGGCUCAUUUCAAAGGAUUACAUAGAGUAAAAUUGCACCAUAAGGGAUAAUAAAUGUGGUCCAUUUUAUUUGUGCACUGUGCAAAUUGUCAGAAUGUCAUUAUGUUUGUGUAUGCAUGAGGAACAGACUCCAAUUCAAAUUCAUCUCAAUCUCA